rnacentral:lncRNA from 1 species
GUUCGGAUAUCGAUGCAGAACAUCAAGAAAUUCACUUGUUCGAGAACUAAAGUUUGAAAGUUUUAAAGGUAAGAAUAGUUAACGCUGUUGUCAAACUGUAUUUUUUAAUCUGUGGUUUUAGUACAUAACAGUGUAAUAUAGUUCGAUGAACCAUUACCGUGUUUGAUGAUACGCUCAUUUGAGUCAGUCAGGGUUUACGUAUAUCAUGUUGAAUUGAAUUUUAGUGUAGUAAAUUUGCCAAUAACAUACAUACUUUGCAUAUACAUGAAUAUAUUGCAAAUUGCAAAAGACUCUAACUCGCAGCGGUGGAUACAGAACUGGUGCCCAAUUGCCAUCUUAGUCCGUGCAACAUAUGGUGUGUUGCACGGGUUGUUGCUAAAGUUGGUAGUUUUAUAUGAUACAUGCAGCAGUAGUCAUGCAGCAGUAAUUGUGGUCCCCAUUAAGCAGGCAUAUUAAGCUUAAAAAGAAUUUCAUUCAAAUGUAACAGAAAUUGCGAGAAAAACUACCAUGUUAAGUUGUAUAAAAGAUAAUAAAUAUAAAAGUAAGCAAUUUAAAAAAAAUGCUUGCAGCAAAAAAAAUGCGAAAAAUUAGUCGAUGUACGCCGGUUAACCAGCGAGAACAAACGUUAUAAUCUUCCGCCAUCGUGGUACCUAAAAUAAUCGAGUUCAAAUACAGACACAGACCCUUUUAUAACAAGCGCACUUAACUAGAUUGAUUUUUAAAUUAUUAAACUUUAUUUGAUCAGCCUCGAAAGUGGUCUGCUGAACAGAUUUUCUACAAAUCGUGGUCAACACUUAAAACCCAAAAAACCUGAGUGUCUCUAAGUUGUACAUGAUAGGUACCUGCGGUCAGGGCCUUCCAGAGAAGUGGGGCGAAUUGGGCAAUCUACCCCGAGUUCCUAGUUAAAAGAGUCCCAAAAUUUGCAAAAGGGGUCCGCGAAUAGUAUAAAGUUAAAAAAAUUAUUUGCAAUGUUUUUUAUAUAAAUGAUGGUUUGAGAAAAAAUUUUAAACCUCAAUUUUAUUUGUACUUGUCAGAAAAAAAUGUGUUUUACUCGUGUUUUUACAGGUCUGGAUACAUAGAUUAGGAAACUAAUAGCGCAGUUAUCGUGAUAAGAUAAAGAGCCUAGGUUAAAUACAAUAUGGAUAAUAAACAUAAUAUUUGAUGUAACCAGCCACUGAAAAGUUCCAAUGGAAAAUGGGCGGAGUGAUGUGUGUAUAUGUAUGCAUGUAUGCAACUAUUUUUUCUACGUGUAGGCUAAUUAUUAAGGGCCCAUUUAUUAUAUUUACAAUUAUUGUUAUAUUUUUAAUUGUACUUAUUUGUAUUAUCGCAAUAAUUAUUAAAAUCAAUAUAUAUUUUGCUGCAGAAACAAAGAAUGAACAAAUCCGGAACUAUUAAAAUAUGUACUAUGUAUUUGUUGUACGUUAUUAUUGUAUAUGUAUAUAGUUAUUAAAAAACUCAUUAAUCAUUCAUGAAGAAAAUUCCAAAGAAACUAAUGUUUAAUCAAUCUUUGUAAAUCGGUUUUUGUCGAUUUGCCGUCAUUUACAUGAACUUCAGCUAUGAUUUUCUCGGCUUAGACAAUGUUUAUUUCAAAAUUACUUCGCCAAUCACUAUGAACUCGUAAGAUGGGUCGUAUUUUAAGCACGUUAAAACAUUCGCAUCCGAUCUUUAUCUGAUAUACAAUCCGUCGCCUUCGUAGUACUUAUUGAUUCAAGUAUACAUUAGACGGUUGUAAAUUACCAAAUAUGACUAAUAUGAGUGAGAUUUACAGUUAUUGUAUAUAUGUAACCUAAAAAUUCACUAAUAAAGUUUACAUUAUUAUUAUUUCUCUCAAUAGAAAUCCACGACGAUCAUGAAUAAUUCUACCCUAAUCUUUCUGCUCAUUGUUGGAUUGUGUGCAUCGUGGGCAAAUGGCUUUUGCAUCAUUUGGACCUGCGGCGCAAACAAGUAUUGUUACCGGAGUCAAUGUAGGCCUAAGAGCGGCAAGUUGGGGAGGUGCGUGUGGGGCCAUCAGGAUAACCCAUGUCAAAGUGGCCUGUCUUGCAAGUGCAAUCACAAGCUCUGCAAUACUGCAGCAAUAAUUGGAGAGCUUGGAAAUGGUCUUGGCGGACUGGGAAUCCCGGAUCUGGGCAGCGCAAUAUCUUCCUGUUGUCGCUGUGUUUGAAGUCAAAAAGUAACGGACGAAAGUGCCAUUUACACAGUGCUGUAAUUAUCAUUGAUUUGAAAUAAAAUCAAAGUAUCAAAAACUGUG